rnacentral:rRNA from 1 species
AACGAACGCUGGCGGCAUGCCUAACACAUGCAAGUCGAACGAGACCUUCGGGUCUAGUGGCGCACGGGUGCGUAACGCGUGGGAACCUGCCCUUAGGUUCGGAAUAACUCCCCGAAAGGGGUGCUAAUACCGGAUAAUGUCUUCGGACCAAAGAUUUAUCGCCUUUGGAUGGGCCCGCGUUGGAUUAGCUAGUUGGUAGGGUAAAAGCCUACCAAGGCGACGAUCCAUAGCUGGUCUGAGAGGAUGAUCAGCCACACUGGGACUGAGACACGGCCCAGACUCCUACGGGAGGCAGCAGUGGGGAAUAUUGGACAAUGGGCGAAAGCCUGAUCCAGCAAUGCCGCGUGAGUGAUGAAGGCCUUAGGGUUAUAAAGCUCUUUUACCCGGGAUGAUAAUGACAGUACCGGGAGAAUAAGCUCCGGCUAACCCCGUG